rnacentral:rRNA from 1 species
ACUCUGAGAUAAGCCUGGGAGACUGGGUCUAAUACCGGAUAUGACCAACUGUCGCAUGGUGGUUGGUGGAAAGCUUUUGCGGCGUGGGAUGGGCCCGCGGCCUAUCAGCUUGUUGGUGGGGUAAUGGCCUACCAAGGCGACGACGGGUAGCCGACCUGAGAGGGUGAUCGGCCACACUGGGACUGAGACACGGCCCACACUCCUACGGGAGGCAGCGGUGGGGAAUAUUGCACAAUGGGCGCACGCGUGAUGCCGCGACGCCGCGAGAGGAAUGACGGCGUUCGGGUUGUAAACCUCUUUCCCCCGGCACAAGGCGGGAGUGGCGGACCGUGAUGAAGAAGCUCCGCACAACUCCGUGCGAACCGCCGCGGUAUUGCGGAGGCUGGGAGCUGUGUCAGGAAUUACUGGGUCUACGGGGUGCGUCGGCGUAUUGUCGCGGCGCCGGCGAUUGUCCGCACCCCAGUUGAUGCCUUGCAGGCUUAGCGGUGAGACUUGAGUCCUACGGGGGAGACUGUAAUUCGUGAGCUACCGCUCGAAUGCGCUGAUAUGAGGAGCACACCCGGUGCCGACGGCGGACCUCGUGGACGACAACUGACUCUGAGCAGGUAAGCUACGGAUGCUAUCGCGCAUCAGAUACCGUGGCAGCCCAC